UUGGUGGAUUAAUAUGUGGAGAGUAUCGCACAGAACAUUUAACUCUCUCUUCUAGAAUGUGGACACUCUGGCACUUACAAUGCAUUUUAAUUUUAUUCUGUCUCUCAGUGCCGGAUACCAAAGGGGUCAAACAAACAGAUCUAACCAGUGGCUUUGGAACCUGGGAUCCUGGAACAGCUUACAUCACCAGAUGUGAUUUUAACAACAACUCGAGACCGUUUUGUGACUGGACCCAGCCCUGUGAAGUGAACCAAGGAGCCUGGAUAAGAACCAAACAUGCCACUCCAACUAGUGGAACAGGUCCAGAUGGAGACU